rnacentral:misc_RNA from 1 species
AACUUUCGACAACGGAUCUCUUGGUUCUCGCAUCGAUGAAGAACGCAGCGAAGCGCGAUAGGUAUUGUGAAUUGCAGAAUUGUGAAUCAUCGAAUUUUUGAACGCACAUUGCACCCACUGGUAUUCCGGUGGGUAUACUUGUUUGAGCGUCAUUUCUCUCUCCCUUUGGGGUUUUGGCUUGAGUAUUCUUGCUGAAUUAUAAUGGUGCCGCUAACCAAAUCUACAACGUGAUAGUUAUUUCGUUUGACGUUUGUUCUAAGCUCACCUUAAAACAUUAUUACGACCUCAAAUCAAGCAGGACUACCCGCUGAACUUAAGCAUAUCAAUAAGCGGAGGCU